rnacentral:tRNA from 1 species
GGUCCCAUAGCUCAGUUGGUUAGAGCGUCGUACUAAUAUUAUGUCGCCAUAAUGUCGGUAAAUGCGAAGGCCGUGAGUUCAAGCCUCACUGGGACCA